UCAGGAUGAACGCUAGCGACAGGCUUAACACAUGCAAGUCGAGGGGCAGCAUAAAAGUAGCAAUACUUGGUGGCGACCGGCGCACGGGUGAGUAACGCGUAUGCAACCUACCUAGUCAGAGGGGAAUAACCCGGCGAAAGUCGGACUAAUACCGCAUAAAACAGGGGCACCGCAUGGUGAUAUUUGUUAAAGAAAUUCGCUGAUAGAUGGGCAUGCGUUCCAUUAGGUAGUUGGUGAGGUAACGGCUCACCAAGCCGACGAUGGAUAGGGGAACUGAGAGGUUGGUCCCCCACACUGGUACUGAGACACGGACCAGACUCCUACGGGAGGCAGCAGUGAGGAAUAUUGGUCAAUGGGCGAGAGCCUGAACCAGCCAAGUCGCGUGAAGGGAAAAGAAGGAUCUAUGGUUCGUAAACUCCUUUUGCAGGGGAAUAAAGUGCAGGACGUGUCCUGUUUUGUAUGUACCCUGAGAAUAAGGAUCGGCUAACUCCGUGCCAGCAGCAGC
rnacentral:rRNA from 1 species